rnacentral:tRNA from 1 species
GGGGCUAUAGCUCAGCUGGGAGAGCGACUCGUUCGCAACGAGUAGGUCGGCGGUUCGAUCCCGCUUAGCUCCAC